GGCUGCUUUCAUAUUAUAACAACAGAGUUGAGUAUAGAUGCUUCUCACCUUACGAUGAGGUUACAUCCCAUAUAAACCUAUAGUAAAUUGAAAAUAUCAUAAGGCAAAAAUGCAUUUAAUGUAUCUAAUGUUACAAACAUUAUGGCUUAGUCUAGCCUAACUUAACAUGUUCAGAAUACUUAUAUUAGCACACAGUUGGGCAAAUUCAUCUAAUACAAAGCAUAUUUUGCAAUAAGGUGUUGAAUAUCUCAUAUAAUUUAUUGAAUACUGUACUGGAAAUGAAAAACAGAAUGGCUGCACGGCUACUAGAAGUGUAGUUUCUACUGAAUGUGUAUCAAUGUUGCACCAUUAUAAAGUCAAAACAUUGCAAGUUGAACCAUUGUAAGCUGGUAACCAUUUUUGGUUGCAACAGAGACUGUAAGAAAUACAGUCAAAGGGGGUUUGUUCUCUGGCGGGCAGGAGUGGGGGUCGCAAGGUGCUCACUGGGGGUGCUUUUUGAGCCAGGAUGAGCCAGGAAAAGGACUUUCACAAGGUAAUGUCAUCA
rnacentral:lncRNA from 10 species